CAGGGGGCAGUGGCAAGGCUGGCUGGUGUUCUAUCUGCUGCCUGGGGACGAGCCCAGCGCGAGGGCUCUGCCCUGGGACGCUCCAUUAUCUCCCCGUUCAUUACAAGGCCCUGCCCAGCCUCACACUUGCGGCUCAGCUCUACACGACUUCGGCUCUGGAGAUAAUCAUCCCCCAUCCCACACACUUGUGGUGGUAGAAGUCAGAUGGAGGCAACUGGCUGGGCAAUCAUCACGAGAACAGAUGUCUUUAUCUGCCCUAGAGAUACCAACUCCAACUGCCCAAGACAUCAGCAGGAAUGGGAAACCAGUGCAGGGGAGGAGCCAGUAUUUACCUCUCCAUCAUAUGGAACUCCAGCACAGAACGUGUUUGGACCAAAGAACUACUGCAAAAAUUCUCUCCAAGAGAACCAACAAAAAGGCUAGCUACAGAUCAAAUGGUCCAUUGGAUCAGGUCACCAGUGAUGCUUACCAUGAUGUUGCAUACAACACAAACACACUUGCAGCUCGAGAUAUUGCACUACGAGCUUCCUUGGAAAUGUUUACUCCAUCAGGAAGCUGGGGAAAAAGAAAUGUCAUUUUAUCAGAUGAAAUUCAAGUCAUAUGGAUCUGGAGGCUAACAAGUCCUGUCCAGUUCAGUCAAGCCAUUCAGAGUGUUUGCAGUGAACAAUAAAUGUGAGAAAAUGAA